AGUGAACGCUGGCGGUAGGCCUAACACAUGCAAGUCGAACGGCAGCACAGUAAGAGCUUGCUCUUACGGGUGGCGAGUGGCGGACGGGUGGGGAAUACAUCGGAAUCUACUUUUUCGAGGGGGAUAACGUAGGGAAACUUACGCUAAUACCGCAUACGACCUACGGGUGAAAGCAGGGGAUCUUCGGACCUUGCGCGAUUGAAUGAGCCGAUGUCGGAUUAGCUAGUUGGCGGGGUAAAGGCCCACCAAGGCGACGAUCCGUAGCUGGUCUGAGAGGAUGAUCAGCCACACUGGAACUGAGACACGGUCCAGACUCCUACGGGAGGCAGCAGUGGGGAAUAUUGGACAAUGGGCGCAAGCCUGAUCCAGCCAUACCGCGUGGGUGAAGAAGGCCUUCGGGUUGUAAAGCCCUUUUGUUGGGAAAGAAAAGCAGCAGGUUAAUACCCCGCUGUUCUGACGGUACCCAAAGAAUAAGCACCGGCUAACUUCGUG
rnacentral:rRNA from 1 species